GGGCUUGUGGUCUAGGGGUAUGAUCUUCGUUUCGCACCUGUGAAAGUUCGUCUGAGCUAUCAGUAAUAGUUGCCUAUGAAUGGUCCCGGGUUCAAUUCCCGGCGAGUCCA
rnacentral:tRNA from 1 species